rnacentral:rRNA from 1 species
AAUGAACGCUGGCGGCAUGCCUAACACAUGCCAGUCGAGCGGAUGAAGGGGGCUUGCUCCCGGAUUCAGCGGCGGACGGGUGGGUAAUGCCUAGGAAUCUGCCUUAUCUUGGGGGAUAAGGUCCGGAUACGGGCGCUAAUCCCUCAUCCGACCAUAUGUCGAAAGUGGAGGAUCUUGGGUCCUCACGCUUUCUUAUUAGCCUAGGCCGGUUUAGCUAGUUGGUGGGGUAACGGCCUACGAAGGCGACGAUCCGUAACUGGUCUGAGAGGAUGACCAGACACAUUGGAACUGAGAAACGGCACAGACUCCUACGGGAGGAAGCAGUGGGGAAUAUUGGGCAAUGGGGGAAAGCCUGAUCCAGCAAUGCCGCGUGAGUGAUGAAGGUCUUCGGAUUGUAAAGCACUGUAAGUUGGGAGGAAGGAAAGUAAGUUAAUACCUGGCUGUAUUGACGGUACCAACAGAAUAAGCACCGGCUAACUUCGUG